rnacentral:rRNA from 1 species
UACAGAGGGUGCAAGCGUUAAUCGGAAUUACUGGGCGUAAAGCGUGCGUAGACGGUUAUGUAAGUCAGAUGUGAAAGCCCCGGGCUCAACCUGGGAAUUGCAUUUGAGACUGCAUAGCUAGGGUGCGGAAGAGGGAAGCGGAAUUCCUGGUGUAGCGGUGAAAUGCGUAGAUAUCAGGAGGAACACCAGCGGUGUAGACGGCUUUCUGGACCAUUGCUGACGCUGAGACACGAAAGCGUGGGUAGCAAACAGG